ACCGUUUGUGAAAUGUUAAACAAAAUGCUUCAUCAAAACUGUCAUAGAAUCUCAUUAGUGUUGGUUUGCCAAGUAAAAUUACAAAUUUGCAAGUUGAAUUUGUUUUCUCAAUACAAGUUAGACGACAAAUAUAGUUCAUUACUUUGUUUUCUUCAUAUUCUUGUGAGAUUCUGCAAUAAUGUAUCCAAAUCGUCAUUUCUGACAAAAAAAAUCCAAAUCUUCACGAACUCAAAAAACUUAAUAAUCUCAUUGAUGUUAGACUAAUAUCAAACGAAUAAUUUAGACCUCUCGUCAAUGGUAAACCAUAGCUAAGUUGAGAGUUGCACUGAUAUGGCGGCCCUCAAAUCAGAUUGAUCUUCUCCGUAGAACUAAUUACUUCUCAAUGAGUUUAGGAGCUUUGGUAAUAAUUUUUCUUAUAGAUAUUGGAUUGAUGGGAUCAGCCCACCAGCAAGAUUUCUAUAGUUUGUUUAGAAGCAUUGAUAAUGAACUUUUCUACAUUCAAAAGUUGCUGUAGUUUCCCGAAUGCUAGGAAGCAGCAAUGGUCGGCCAACUUGGACAUUUAAAUUCUUAGAUGUUUAUGUUGAAUCGUUUUUUUUUUUUUGGUGUAGUCAUGCAGUUGGUAAAUUUAGCCUGACAGUAUAUUCAAAGCACUCUGUUUCAAAAUGCAAGAUUUUUGAUGUUUACAAUUUCAGAAGUAUCUUGACCUUUUGUAAUUUGUACGUUAAUAAGAUUCAUUUUCCAUCGUUCGCUUCCUCAUAUUUAGUGUGAGACAUACGACAAACCAACUGAACAGUUUGGCUGGAAAAUUUAGCAUCUAUAUAUAUAUAAAAGUGUUUGUUUCUCUCACGUUCGUCCACGUAGGAAAGUCAAGCGCUCUCCUGCCGCCACGCGUCCCCCCCCCCUCAAAGCGCAUCGUUUCAUUAAAGAAGAUUCGUUAGUGGGCUUCGUCGCGCGUUAUCUGCUUAGCCGUGAAGAAUAAAGAUUUGACGGGCCCCUUAGAACAGAUGCUCUAUUUGCGUGAGAUUAGUGAUAUGGGCUUCAUUCCCGACGGUUUGCUCGGCCCGGAAUCGCACAUGUGAAACCCUAAUUUCAUCCCGCGAGUCAUCUGUGUUCUUCCGUCUUAUUCGUUUGACGGCGACGAUGACUCUCCACCUUCUCCACGGAUCUGAAACGGAAUACGUUAUCGUCUUUGUGUGUUUAUUCUCAUCAAUUCAGACGCCCACUAUGAGAUCUUCAAUGCGUCGAUCUCGACUCUCAAACGGUGGGAAAUCUGUAUAAAUAUGUGAGUCUUUCUCAUUUGUAAGUCAUCCUCCUCUGAUAUACUGAAUCGUGUUGUUAUGGCAAUUUGGAGAGUUCUUCUCCGACUUGAAGUCCGGCAGGUGCUCCGGCGUCAUUGAGGCUCGGCUGUUGCAGUUCUGGGAGGCGAGAAAUGUGAAGCGCGGUGGCGAGCUCAUGUGGGUUGACAUGCUUCUGGUUGACCUUAAUAGAUGAAGAUUAGAGAGAGAUAACGUUUGCAGAACGUGACACCAUUAUAAUAUUGAAAGAUUACAACUUUUAAUAAAAAAAUUUAAAUCCAAACAAGAAAGGAGCUUCCUUUUCAUUUCCUCUGUUUUUUCCUCUUGACAUGUUCGUGAUUGGUCCGAAACUGACGAGAAAAAAUCAGACAAGAACCCACGAUGUUUGGUAUCCAAAGCAAAAGAGACUUAAGAACGGAGCUCCAAUCCCAAAUCCCCAUCCCGCCCCAGCAUCCACGCCCGACGAGCCAACACUGUCGUCAAAUUCCAGGACCUAUACAGUUUCACGGUGGAAGGAAACGUCGACGACGUCAACGUCUUGAACUAAGUCAGAGAGAAAGUGAGGAGCCAAGGGAGAGUCUGGUGGGCUCUCGAAGCCAGCAAAGGAACUGACUGGUAUCUCCAGCCGGAUAUUCUAUUGAUCGGAGACGGUGGUAUCGCAUUGAAGACGUCACUGAAGAUAUCUGCUUUGAGUAUGCGAUCACGUUGAAGAGGUUGAUUAGGAAAGGGAUACCUCCUGUGCUGAGGCCUAAGCUUUGGUUCUCUCUCUCUCCGGUGCGGAGAAGAAGAAGUCUACUGUUCCGGAGAGUUAUUACAGUGAUUUGACUAAGGCUGUUGAUGGGAUGGUCACGCCUGCUACGCGGCAGAUUGAUCAUGUGAGUUUGGUCUCCGUCUAAAGUCUGAUCCUUUGAAUACAAAUGUAGAUGCUCAUCAUUUUCUUUUAACGUAUUAUCUUAUUUGCAAUACGGUUGUUUCACUAGGUAGAGCCAGAAUCAAUAUGAGAUACUCAAACUUUAUGUAGACAGCAAUUAUUUUAUUUUAAAUUUUGGUAGAUUAUAAUACAAUUAAUUCCUCCAUCUUUUUGAGGAAACAACUA